UCCAGGAAAAGCCUCUAAGCAUCAGGUAACAUCAAAUCGUACCCCAAACCGACACAGGUGGUCAGGUAGAGAAUACCAAGGCGCUUGAGAGAACUCGGGUGAAGGAACUAGGCAAAAUGGUGCCGUAACUUCGGGAGAAGGCACGCUGAUAUGUAGGUGAAGUCCCUCGCGGAUGGAGCUGAAAUCAGUCGAAGAUACCAGCUGGCUGCAACUGUUUAUUAAAAACACAGCACUGUGCAAACACGAAAGUGGACGUAUACGGUGUGACGCCUGCCCGGUGCCGGAAGGUUAAUUGAUGGGGUCAGCGCAAGCGAAGCUCUUGAUCGAAGCCCCGGUAAACGGCGGCCGUAACUAUAACGGUCCUAAGGUAGCGAAAUUCCUUGUCGGGUAAGUUCCGACCUGCACGAAUGGCGUAAUGAUGGCCAGGCUGUCUCCACCCGAGACUCAGUGAAAUUGAACUCGCUGUGAAGAUGCAGUGUACCCGCGGCAAGACGGAAAGACCCCGUGAACCUUUACUAUAGCUUGACACUGAACAUUGAGCCUUGAUGUGUAGGAUAGGUGGGAGGCUUUGAAGUGUGGACGCCAGUCUGCAUGGAGUCGACCUUGAAAUACCACCCUUUAAUGUUUGAUGUUCUAACGUGGACCCGUGAUCCGGGUUGCGGACAGUGUCUGGUGGGUAGUUUGACUGGGGCGGUCUCCUCCUAAAGAGUAACGGAGGAGCACGAAGGUUGGCUAAUCCUGGUCGGACAUCAGGAGGUUAGUGCAAUGGCAUAAGCCAGCUUGACUGCGAGCGUGACGGCGCGAGCAGGUGCGAAAGCAGGUCAUAGUGAUCCGGUGGUUCUGAAUGGAAGGGCCAUCGCUCAACGGAUAAAAGGUACUCCGGGGAUAACAGGCUGAUACCGCCCAAGAGUUCAUAUCGACGGCGGUGUUUGGCACCUCGAUGUCGGCUCAUCACAUCCUGGGGCUGAAGUAGGUCCCAAGGGUAUGGCUGUUCGCCAUUUAAAGUGGUACGCGAGCUGGGUUUAGAACGUCGUGAGACAGUUCGGUCCCUAUCUGCCGUGGGCGAUGGAGAACUGAGGGGGGCUGCUCCUAGUACGAGAGGACCGGAGUGGACGCAUCACUGGUGUUCGGGUUGUCAUGCCAAUGGCACUGCCCGGUAGCUAAAUGCGGAAGAGAUAAGUGCUGAAAGCAUCUAAGCACGAAACUUGCCCCGAGAUGAGUUCUCCCUGACCCUUUAAGGGUCCUGAAGGAACGUUGAAGACGACGACGUUGAUAGGCCGGGUGUGUAAGCGCAGCGAUGCGUUGAGCUAACCGGUACUAAUGAACCGUGAGGCUUAACCUU
rnacentral:rRNA from 1 species